AUUGAACGCUGGCGGCAGGCCUAACACAUGCAAGUCGAACGAGUGGCGGACGGGUGAGUAAUGUCUGGGCAACUGCCUGAUGGAGGGGGAUAACUACUGGAAACGGUAGCUAAUACCGCAUACCAUCAGAUGUGCCCAGAUGGGAUUAGCUAGUUGGUGAGGUAACGGCUCACCAAGGCGACGAUCCCUAGCUGGUCUGAGAGGAUGACCAGCAACACUGGGACGGAGACACGGACCAGACUCCCACGGGAGGGCGUAGGGGGGAAUAUUGGACAAUGGGAGCAAGUCUGAUGCAGCCACGCCGCGUGUAUGAAGAAGGCCUUCGGGUUGUAAAGUACUUUCAGCGGGGAGGCGUUACCUGCAUAAGAAGCACCGGCUAACUCCGUGCCAGCAGCCGCGGUAAUAC
rnacentral:rRNA from 1 species